AACCUAGCACACCUGCGGUGUGUACCUGCGGAAGGAUCAUUAACCUUUCAAAUCAGGGUGCGGCGCGGCCCCCGAGGAGCGGCAACAAUCCUUGGGAGGUAUGCGGGGGCUUCGAGCCCCCCAUUUACGCACGCACGACUGCCAUCCUUACUUUACGAGCACCUUCUGUUCUCCCUCGGCGGGGCAACCUGCCGUUGGAACCGAAUAAACUCUUUUUGCAUCUAGCAUUACCUGUUCCGA
rnacentral:misc_RNA from 1 species